AUUAUAUUAAUGUAUUUAGGCAUAUAAACUUUUCGUGUUUAAAGAAGCUUUUUAUUAGCUAUAUAAUU
rnacentral:tRNA from 1 species